CACAGUUAUCUAGAGCUGUGUCCAUAAACCUAAAUAAGCACAAACGACAUGUAUAGGUUUCAUGAGCUGAUUGUCAUAAUGAAUGCAUUUUAUAAUUCAAACGAUGUUGUAGAUUUACAAUCUAUUUAUUUUGUAUCAAUUUAUUUGUAAAUUUUGUGAUUGUUUUAAAAGGUUUUUGUUCAUUUCUAUUAUUCUAUUUAGAUAAAUGAUGAUUUCUGUUCACCCUUCUAGCGAAUGUGUCUUCCCUCUCUCCCCUAUCACCUCUGCCAACACAGGCCUCAUCCCCUGCUUAGUGGGAAAGCUGAGAUUGAUUGUCACCAAGGCAACACAGCGGGGCAUUUCCUUUGGAUGUACACUACCAAGUCUUACAUUAAAAGAGAAGCAGGUGCUAGAACUUGAGCCUCCAACUUCCAGCCUCGUACUCCAACUUCCAGCCAACAGCAGGGCUGUCUUCUCUUUUUCAAGGAUCAUAAUCUGUUCCCCAUCAGUUCAUUUUAGAUAAAGAUGCUGGGGGUACCCAUUGAAACUGCCCCAGACAUUUGCAGCUCCAUCACUAAAAACACAUUUCAGCUGGCAAAUGCCUUGACUGUUUUUUCCCUAGGCAAGCCCAGAGGCCUCAUUCAAGCCUCUCAGUUGGCUCUUAAAGAUGAAAAUGGCUCUGCAGAUCUUUCUCUGUGAUGGGAAGCCUAAUACAAUGGUUGCAAGAGGCACAGAUGGUCUACCAAGUUAAAAUCAAGGGCAUGAGUGUGGUGAGUCAUGGUCGGAUGCUCUUCAGGAUUCCGUGGGCCUGCCUGAUUCCUGUGUGAGCCCCAUCCUCUCCC
rnacentral:lncRNA from 1 species